GCAUCCUAACAAAGAGGAGAGUACACCAUCCUUAAGCACACACUAAUUGGACUUUCUGAUUUGGAUUUAAAAAUAACCCUGGAUGAUGAUGAAGGGCCCAGUUUGGUGUCUUUUGUAUCUCCCUGUACAGCAGGAAGUAAGCUAGUAGAAAAUACAUCCGAUAUAUGUGAGAACAGUCAGACCUGCUCGUUGCUGACUCUGCAGUCAACAGAGCUACAGAGCUGGGCUUUGGGGUGAUACCAGUUCCCAGCCCUUCAGAAGGAAGGGCUCUACUGAGGUCUAUUAAAGGCUCUAUUUGUUCCUCUACCAAGGGUCCCUGUUAAGUUUUUCAGUUGGUAUGUUUGGAUGACUUUUGUUUCGGAUUGAGAAGAAAAGAAAGCAGUGGCUCCAGCAAGACAGAGCGAGCGCACAGAGAACGUGUCUCCUUCCUGAACACCAAAUGGCAGCUUCUGUCCAGAGUAUCUGAAGAGGUCUGCAAAGGUAAAACUGCAGAAGGUAAUAAAUGAAAUCACUUGAGAGGAGUACAGCCAAGCUGGACCCCUUGUAAUGUUUCCAAAGGUCUCAUUCUUCUGUGCUUUCUGACAGCUCACUUAUGUGGAGCUAUCAGUGUGCUCAAUUAAAAUGAACAAGAAAGGUGAAAGUCUGCCCAAGGUGUUUAUGUUCUUCAUCUUACACAUCUGUGUUUCCUUCCCAAGUGGAGAAGCUGGGGCCAGCAAUUCCAGCCAGGACUGGCCACCUCCCAGCUGGUGCAUCCUCAGUGCCACACAGAGGAAUGAUCAGUUAGAUGUGCCCUGCCCCUCCAGAGACCUCAUGUACCUGUCUGCUUGGUCAGCAGUUUGGACCUUGUUUAAUGUAUAACCCUCUGGCCAGUGCAUGCUGCAACCCCGCUCCGAGCAGCUCCAGAUGGAAGUGGGGGCAAGGUUCAGCUAGGAAACCGGGCUGGGGAGAAGUUGGGAGAGAUACCUAAAUAGGGCUGGAGAGAAGCGAAGAGAUACCUGUGUGGGUAUGGGCCCGCUUGCAGGCAUCCUGAAACUCCCGGCCUUUGCGAGUCAAGUUAUAGAAGACAUCCUUGUAAGAAAAAUUCUGGAUUCUGUUGCUCAGGAGGUAGCUCAGGUCAUAAACAGCUCUGAUAUAAUAGUCUGAGUUGCUGUAGGGAGAUCAAGGUUAAAGCUGGUGUUAGCAGGCAGAGUGAGGAAACAGGAGCACUUCUUUUCACAGCAUCUGGAAGUCGAAGCACUGACCUUUCAGUCUGGCAGUUGGCAUUAUAACUGAAGGCACACUUCAAGAUGCUGUCUAGUGUCAUCAAGCUGACGUCUCGAAAGAGCUCCACUGACUUCCUGUCUGUGUUCUUCUUUUCCCAUUUAUCCUAGUGGUGGAGGCAGGGGUAAGGAAGGACAGACAACCAUCUAGAAUUAGGUCCUAUUUUCCAAUUCCUCUUCCCAGAUCCACAUUGUUAAUUGCUUUCUUAUCUGCCAGCUGAGGCCCUAGUUCAAUGUAUAUUCUGUGAAAUCUAAUCAAACCCUUCUGUGCAUUUCUUGUUCAAGGUUUACCAUUACUGGGCUAGGAAAGGAUGUUCUACCAGUGGCUGAUUUCAUUGGAAGGCAGAAGAAAGAAAGAAAGAACAAGUGGAAGGACCAGAGGGAGGUGAGGAGAGCAAUUUCAGAACUUCCAAACUAGGAGCCAUUUAAACCCUGCCUGUCUCCCUUGGUCAUUCCCAGACCUGACUAUUUUCACUGGUGCACAGCUGAAAGGUAAAAGUGACAGGAGUGAUGAUUCUUACCAGCAUCACUUUGACUGAGUCUGACAUCAGGGUCACAUAAGUUUUCAGCACAUCAUAAUGAAAAGCUGGGGUGAGCAGCUUCCGAUGCUGGAACCAUUUGGCUCCCUCCAAAAUCAACAGUCCCUCCCCUGGGGAAACAGAAGCAAAGGUGCAAUCAGCUCCUCCAGACAUUGGUCACCGUGCUGGCAGCCUUACUACUGCUUUUGGGCAAGCACAGACUAAUGUGCAGGAUCUGGGAGAAGGAAGAGUUGGUGAUGGAGCCUUUCUUCAGCCUCUGAGGCCAUUCACAGCAGCACUCCUUGGAUGGAGAUGAAGCAUGCCCACUGCAACCAGCCAUGCACACCCUAUCUACCCUGAAACCAGGCCCAUGAUGGCAGAGGCACAGGACUUGUGGGUUUUCUGGAUAUCUCUUGAUUGCAACUCGAGAGCUGCACCUUGUGUCUGAAGAGGGGACAGGCAGCUGAAGUGAGCAUCCCCUACCAUUGUGCUGACGUUCCUGCUUCUUUGAGAGGAGCUGGUUCAGGCCAAAAUAAAUUGGAUUAACUCAAAAGCAAAAAUAAGUUGAACUGGGAUUCAGACUGUCAUAGGCGGAAAGCCAGCACUGCUGGAGGGCAGGGAAUAGAGAUGAAAAAGCACAUGGAAAAGCGCAUUUACUGAGAAAUCUUAUUUUCAUUUUACUUUCUAGAGUCCUGAUUCAUUCCUGAUUAGCAGCAACUAAAACUGUGUGCUGCUAAUGACAGAGCAGCCAUUUGACAAGGAUUGCCUUUACACAUAGGCUUAAAUGCAUUUUCAAGUUAUGUCUUUCUCAUUAUAAGUUCAGAUUUGUUCUUUUAGUGGAAUUCAUUCCAGAAGAAGGGAGUAGCAUCAUCAUUCAGGUUGUAAUACGGGGUUCAACAGGUUUCUGAUUUUUCCUUAAAGAAAAUAGUUUUUUUUCCCUGGGAGGCUUUACCUCCAAACAUCCCUGUUUUUCAGAGGAAUGAGAAGUUUGAGAAGAGAAAAAGCAUUAGAACCUCUUCUGCUUUUGAGACAGAAAAUAAUAAUCGGGUUGCAUUGAAGUCUGCCCUGACACUGGAUUUGCUCAUGUGCUCUUUUGCCAGACAAUGUGGUGCACAAAAUGAUCUGGCAGAAUUCCUUCCUCACAGCUUCAAAUGAAGAUUACACAUUGGAACCCUGCUAAGGGGUUGCC